AAGUCGUAACAAGGUUUCCGUAGGUGAACCUGCGGAAGGAUCAUUAUUGAAUUUUUGAAGGGGGUUGUAGCUGAUCUUUUAGAUAUGUGCACACCUCUUGUCAUCUAUACACCCACAUGUGCACUUUUGUAGGCUUUUCAAGGCCUAUGUUUGCUCCAUACACACACAUUGUAAAAGAAUGUUAAUUGAUAAAAUUUAAUACAACUUUCAACAACGGAUCUCUUGGCUCUCGCAUCGAUGAAGAACGCAGCGAAAUGCGAUAAGUAAUGUGAAUUGCAGAAUUCAGUGAAUCAUCGAAUCUUUGAACGCACCUUGCGCUCCUUGGUAUUCCGAGGAGCAUGCCUGUUUGAGUGUCAUUAAAUUAUCAACCUCUUUUAAGAGGCUUGGAUUUGGAGUGUUGCUGGCUUUAUAUGUUGGCUCCUCUUAAAUGCAUUAGCUUGUAGGCUUUGGUUUGAUAAUAUCUAUGCCAUCGCUGUAAUGCAAAACACAACCUUUUGAAAUUUGACCUCAAAUCAGGUAGGACUACCCGCUGAACUUAAGCAUAUCAAUAAGCGGAGGAAAAGAAACUAACAAGGAUUCCCCUAGUAACUGCGAGUGAAGCGGGAAAAGCUCAAAUUUAAAAUCUGGCAGUCUUAUAGCUGUCCGAGUUGUAAUCUAGAGAAGUGCUUUCCGCGUUGGACCGUGUACAAGUCUCUUGGAACAGAGCGUCAUAGAGGGUGAGAAUCCCGUCUUUGACACGGACUACCAGUGCUUAUGUGAUGCGCUCUCAAAGAGUCGAGUUGUUUGGGAAUGCAGCUCAAAAUGGGUGGUAAAUUCCAUCUAAAGCUAAAUAUUGGCGAGAGACCGAUAGCGAACAAGUACCGUGAGGGAAAGAUGAAUAGAACUUUGGAAAGAGAGUUAAACAGUACGUGAAAUUGUUGAAAGGGAAACGCUUGAAGUCAGUCACGUUGGUCAGAAAUCAACCCUCCUGGGUGUACUUUCUGGCUUUACGGGUCAGCAUCAAUUUUGAUUGUUGGAUAAAAGUCUAUAUUUAUGCAUUUUCGGAUGUAUAGCCUUUGGUUGCAUACAACAGUUGGGAUUGAGGAACUCAGCAUGCCGCAAGGCCGGAUCACUUUGAUCACGUACAUGCUUAGGAUGCUGGCAUAAUGGCUUUAAUCGACC
rnacentral:rRNA from 1 species